GACGAACGCUGGCGGCGUGCUUUACACAUGCAAGUCGAACGGAAAGGCCCUGGUUUUGUGGGGUGCUCGAGUGGCGAACGGGUGAGUAGCACGUGAGUAACCUGCCCUUGACUUUGGGAUAACUUCAGGAAACUGGGGCUAAUACCGGAUAGGAGCUCCUGCGGCAUGGUGGGGGUUGGAAAGUUUAGGCGGUUGGGGAUGGACUCGCGGCUUAUCAGCUUGUUGGUGGGGUAGUGGCUUACCAAGGCCUUGACGGGUAGCCGGCCUGAGAGGGUGACCGGCCACAUUGGGACUGAGAUACGGCCCAGACUCCUACGUGAGGCAGCGGUGGGGAAUAUUGCACAAUGGGGGGAAGCCUGAUGCAGCAACGCCGCGUGCGGGAUGACGGCCUUCGGGUUGUAAACCGCUUUCGCCUGUGACGAAGCGUGAGUGACGGUAAUGGGUAAAGAAGCACCGGCUAACUACGUG
rnacentral:rRNA from 1 species